rnacentral:rRNA from 1 species
UACGUAGGUGGCGAGCGUUGUCCGGAUUUACUUGGGCGUAAAGGGAGCGUAGGCGGACUUUUAAGUUGAGAUGUGAAAUACCCGGGUUCAACUUGGGUGCUGCAUUUCAAACUGGAAGUCUAGAGUGCAGGAGAGGAGAAUGGAAUUCCUAGUGUAGCGGUGAAAUGCGUAGAGAUUAGGAAGAACACCAGUGGCGAAGGCGAUUCUCUGGACUGUAACUGACGCUGAGGCUCGAAAGCGUGGGGAGCAAACAGGAUUAGAUACCCUGGUA